CACCCAUUGUCGUCCCUCAAAAUUUUAAUUUAGUUUCAACCCACAAAUUCCCGCGUUCACACCUCCAAUUUUUCAUUCCCCUUUUAUUCCUACCCCACAAAUCCCUCUUCUUUAUUCUUUCUCAUCUUCUCUUUAGCCUUGUGCCAGUGCCGGAACUGUCCAGAGAACGAGACGCGGAGGAGACUCAUUAUGGAGGUACAAUCCCUCUACCUACAGACCUAACCGCUUGGGAGUUUCCGGUGACCCAUAAAAAAUCGUAGGCAAUCUUAGCCACUGGUGGGUUUCGAGUUUAGUCAAAUCAACGUAAACUGGACGUAAGAGUGGUUGUUUGGUGAGUUUUAAGUUUCUUUAUUGUGUAUUAAACACCGUAUUAUGUGUGUUAAGGUAUACUCUCGAUUUGGGCGUUAUUGUAUGUUCAGACCAAUCGUGAUAAGAAGCUGUUAAUGAACAAGAAUUCAGAUACCACAAUGAAGUGUUGUUCCGUAUUCUAGCAAGAUGUGGCUGCUCUUUAACCAUUUGAAAAAGGGUUAAAUGGAUUGUUUUUGCAGGGUUGUUUUGAGUGCCUAUGAUCUUUGCUCCUCGUACUCUUCUCAACUGUCUUCACAUGGUGCAAUGGUUGAAGGAACAAAUGGUGGAGUUGGAACUCUAAAAAGUGGAGAACAUGCAUGAUGAAGAAAAUUGAAAAAUAGUAACGUUAUACGCUCAAAUAAAUGAGAGAUUUCAAGCGUUGCCACAAAACUUUUGACUGAGUUAAGAUAUGGGUUAAUGUUGGUAGACAUUAUAAUUUGAGUAUUUAUUAUAUUGCUUUUGGAUACUUGGCAUAUUUAUUUUGGUUUGAAUAAACUGAUAUUUUAUUUUA